GAUCGAUAUUGUUGCCACACCAUCCAUGAUAAAAUACGCUUGAGCAAAUUCAAAAUAAUAAUGAAAAUACAUAAAUCAUAUGAUACAUAUGACACAUCACUUGCUGACUUUGGUUGCUAAUUUAUUUUCAUAACCCUUUCUUUAUUUCCACGUGAACUGAUUUAACAAAAUGAUGGGAACUAAUAUCUUAUUACAAAAAAAUAGGGAAGUUUCUUGGAUUACAAUGUUGCAGUCAAACUCAAUCAAAAUGCAAGCUACCUUCCUAUGGGGAUACCAAUUUUAAAAUAACAGUAUGUCAAUAUCCAUUACAGUUUUAUAAGCUAAAAUCAUUUGAAAAGAAAGAAAAAAAACUAAAAUUUUUGGCAACCUUAAAAUAUUCAUUCAUAUUCCUCAAGGACAACAUCCUCACACGCAGUAUCCGCCAUAGGUUAUUGAUAUGAUGUUAAUACUCCAAGACUUUAUAAGAACAAUAUACUUUUCUUGUUAUUGUAGUCAAAGUAUUGCUAAACAACAUCAGAUAUCAAUCUCUACUUAAAUAACAUGUAUUAGCAACAAAUUUGCCCCAGAAGAGUAUUAAUUUAAUACCUAUCUUUGCCUCCUCCAACAAACACAACGAGAAACCUCUAAGUUCAUAGUAAUAAACAAGUUAGAAUGUACGAAAUGGCAUCACAUCAAAUAAGAAUGAAUGAAUGCAUCAAACUCACCAGCAUUCACAGUCAUAUAUACAUAAAAUAAGCUAUAAAGAAAUCGUAAAUUUACCUCCGAGUCAUAAAAUUUGAUGUAGAAUCUGGAGCUAUCAAUGUAUAGUUUAGUUUGAAGGAUUUGUGCAAUAGUAGAACUCAGUUUUGCAUUAACACUUGGACCAAGUCCGCCAAUUGAUAUCAGUUCUCCAUAGGCAGCCGGCUCUUCAGUCCCACCAAAUGCAAUAGGCACUCCACCAUUCAACAAAAUCAUCACAUACUGAAACACACAGAAAACAUUAUUUAUAAACAAAAGUCACACAUUUCAUGUCAAAUAAAAGAUUAAGAUUAAAAUAAAGAGUACGAUUGAGUGUUGGUGGCAUAUAGCAUAUGUAGUUUUGAAGACAUGGGUUGGAUAAAGUUUUGAUAUUUACAGAGUAAUUUCAUCAAACAUUUGGUGGGCAACAAUAAACAAAGGAGGAAAAGGAAGAAAUUGGACUCAACGGAUUCGGGCUUUCCGAUGAUUUUUGCAACAACUUUGGUGGCAUCCCUGAGAAUGUCGGAAGCAAUAACAGGAUCCACGGGGAUGUUGGUGAAGAGGUUCAAAGUGGGCAUUGCGUUGUCCUUGAGUCCUUCAGGAUAAGGUAGGUGGUGUUUCUCCCUUCACACACCAAUUCGUGUUUUGAAGUUGGUUUUUUAUUACUUAUUUUUAUGACAUCAAAUAAGAAAUUUAAUUUCACUCUAAUUAUUUCAUUUUGG
rnacentral:lncRNA from 1 species